rnacentral:miRNA from 1 species
GUCCGUACAUCUGCAUGCCACA